rnacentral:rRNA from 1 species
UACAGAGGGUGCGAGCGUUGUUCGGAAUUAUUGGGCGUAAAGGGCGCGUAGGCGGUGCGGUAAGUCACCUGUGAAAUCUCCUGGCUCAACUGGGAGCUUGCAGGCGAAACUGCCGUGCUGGAGUGUGGGAGAGGUGCGUGGAAUUCCUGGUGUAGCGGUGAAAUUCGUAGAUAUCGGGAGGAACACCAAUGGCGAAGGCAGCUCGCUGGGACGGUACUGACGCUGAGACGCGAAAGCGUGGGGAGCAAACAGG